rnacentral:rRNA from 1 species
ACCCUUAGAUGUUCUGGGCCGCACGCGUGCUACACUGAGUGGAUCAGCGGGUCAGGUUGCGCGAAAGUGUUUCCUAAUCUUUAAAUCCGCUCGUGAUGGGGAUUGACGGUUGCAAUUUUCCGUCAUGAACGAGGAAUACCUUGUAAGCGCGGGUCAUCAUCCCGCGCUGAAUACGUCCCUGCCCUUUGUACACACCGCCCGUCGCACCUACCGAUUGAAUGUUUCGGUGAAGAUUCCGGAUAGGACUUUUUUGAUUUAUUUCAAUUCUGUCUUAAAAGCUAUCUAAACCUCAACAUUUAGAGGAAGGUGAAGUCGUAACA